rnacentral:piRNA from 1 species
UUGGUACACAUUCCCGAUGGAGGG